rnacentral:rRNA from 1 species
UACGUAUGGUGCAAGCGUUAUCCGGAUUUACUGGGUGUAAAGGGAGCGUAGGCGGCGCGUUAAGUCUGAUGUGAAAACCCGAGGCUCAACCACGGGAGUGUAUUGGAAACUGGCGGGCUGGAGUGCCGGAGAGGUAAGCGGAAUUCCUAGUGUAGCGGUGAAAUGCGUAGAUAUUAGGAGGAACACCAGUGGCGAAGGCGGCUUACUGGACGGCAACUGACGCUGAGGCUCGAAAGCGUGGGGAGCAAACAGG